AACACCUCAAAGCUUUUGAUUUUCUUUGAAAGCUUUGGACUUGAGCAAUCCCAACACCAAUCUUUUUCAGAUCGGCGGCGGGUUGCUUGAAAUGCAGGUGCAGCUGGACAUUCUCCUGAGCUAAAAGCAUAUUCAUUUAGUCCCGUCAAACGGAUUAUUACUUUUGCUGCAGCUAACAUAAAGGGAGUUUGACCGUAUUGGCUGACUGAUGCAGGAUUUUACAAGGGUCGGCAACGAUUCUUGUUAA
rnacentral:misc_RNA from 3 species